UACGAAGGGGGCUAGCGUUGCUCGGAAUCACUGGGCGUAAAGGGUGCGUAGGCGGGUCUUUAAGUCAGGGGUGAAAUCCUGGAGCUCAACUCCAGAACUGCCUUUGAUACUGAGGAUCUUGAGUCCGGGAGAGGUGAGUGGAACUGCGGAGUGUAGAGGUGAAAUUCGUAGAUAUUCGCAAGAACACCAGUGGCGAAGGCGGCUCACUGGCCCGGUACUGACGCUGAGGCACGAAAGCGUGGGGAGCAAACAGG
rnacentral:rRNA from 1 species